rnacentral:tRNA from 1 species
AUGGCUCAGUGGUUAUGAGCUCUGGCUUCCCAUCCAGAGGACCUGGGUUCCAUUCCCAGU